rnacentral:rRNA from 1 species
UACGAAGGGGGCUAGCGUUGCUCGGAAUCACUGGGCGUAAAGCGCACGUAGGCGGAUUGUUAAGUCAGGGGUGAAAUCCUGGAGCUCAACUCCAGAACUGCCUUUGAUACUGGCGAUCUCGAGUCCGGGAGAGGUGAGUGGAACUGCGAGUGUAGAGGUGAAAUUCGUAGAUAUUCGCAAGAACACCAGUGGCGAAGGCGGCUCACUGGCCCGGUACUGACGCUGAUGCGCGAAAGCGUGGGGAGCAAACGGG